UCAGUUUAAUAUCUGAUACGUGGUCCAUGUGACCACACGAUAUUAAAUUAAUUUCUUGUGGGGGAGGUUGGCCACCACCAGUAGCUUGCUACUGGGGCCUCCUCGAGCGUCGCCCAUGCGUUGCACUACUGUACGGGCCAGGCGCACCCCUACCAAUCCUUCAAGUGAAAGUUUGGUCUCCUUAUAUGCAACAUACUGCACGGAAACCAGUGGAUAAAAGGUGUGCCACCGGCUACUUGUGGUUGAGCUUGCAAAUAUUUUGUUUGAUUACCGACAGGGCGGAGCAAACGGGGAAAAGAGACAGAAAGAGAGAGAAGAAGAAGAAGAAGAAGAGAGAGAAGAUGGAGAUUUCAUAGGCUUAAAAUCAAAACCACCCAAAAGGGGAUAGCUCAGCCCUGAAAAGAGAAUGCGCUAAACUGAUGAAUAUCUGAAAUUAGGUAAAACUCCGACCUCCUCCGUGAUUUUUAAGAAACUGGGGCAGCCAGGUAUCAAGUAUGGGGCCAAGAAAUUAAAGCCGUAGGGAACAAAAUUUAGUCCUGUAUCGAAGGACGUAGAAGAGAGCGGGGUUGGAGAACAUGUAUAAAAGGCGUUCGUGGGGAACCAGUAAAUCAUACUUACCUGGACGGGGUCUAUCGGUGAUCAAUAUGGCCGAUGGCCUAGGGCAACUGCCUCUAUUGCACUUCGGAGGAGAGUUGUUCUACCAUCUCCUCAAGUAGGAGAGUGGACGUCAUAAUUUGUGGUAGCGGGGGAACGCGUUCGCGCGGCCCCCACCAAUGCCUUAACUAAAUGUCUUUUGUUUCCUUCAAAUGAAAUGGUAUGGUGGUACCGAACUUUAAUGGAUCUUCUGUCCCGAACUUCUAUGGUUGUAAAUUCUCCUUUCGACUUAUUGGAUCGAGUCACGGUUAGAUAGAAUUGCAACUGUAAACCGCGAUGUCUGAAGAAGCAAAACCAA